AGCAGCCGCGGUAAUUCCAGCUCCAAUAGCGUAUAUUAAAGUUGUUGCAGUUAAAAAGCUCGUAGUUGAAUUUCGGGAUCAAUACGUCUGUCGUGCCUUCGGUACGUACGGGUAUAAUUGGUUUCUACCUUCUGAUGAACCUUGAUGCCAUUAAUUUGGUGUCUUGGGGACUCAGGACUGUUACCUUGAAAAAAUUAGAGUGUUUAAAGCAGGCAUACGCUUGAAUACAUUAGCAUGGAAUAAUGAAAAUAGGACGUUCGAUUCUAUUUUGUUGGUUUCUAGGAUCGACGUAAUGAUUAAUAGGGAUAGUUGGGGGCAUUAGUAUUCAAUUGUCAGAGGUGAAAUUCUUGGAUUUAUUGAAGACUAACUACUGCGAAAGCAUUUGCCAAGGAUGUUUUCAUUAAUCAAGAACGAAAGUUAGGGGAUCGAAGACGAUCAGAUACCGUCGUAGUCUUAACCAUAAACUAUGCCGACUAGGGAUCGGAUGAUGUUAAUUUUUAAUGACUCAUUCGGCGCCUUA
rnacentral:rRNA from 1 species